rnacentral:rRNA from 1 species
AUUGAACGCUGGCGGCAGGCCUAACACAUGCAAGUCGAGCGAGCGGCGGACGGGUGAGUAAUGUAUGGGGACUGCCCGAUCGAGGGGGAUAACUACUGGAAACGGUGGCUAAUACCGCAUACUAUCGGAUAAGCCAUAGGGGAUUAGCUAGUAGGUGGGGUAAAGGCUCACCUAGGCGACGAUCUCUAGCUGGUCUGAGAGGAUGAGCGGCCACACUGGGACUGAGAAAGGGCCAAGACUCUUACGGAGGCAGCAGUGGGGAAUAUUGCACAAUGGGCGAAAGCCUGAGGCAGCCAUGCCGCGUGUAUGAAGAAGGCCUUAGGUUUGUAAAGUACUUUCAGCGGGGAGGCGUUACCCGCAGAGGAAGCACCGGCUAACUCCGUGCCAACAGCCGCGGUAAUUC